AUAAGAGUAGCUUAGCUUGAUAAAGCAUUUGCUUUGGAAUCAAAGUGUCGUAGGUUUGAAUCCUGUGUUUUAUA
rnacentral:tRNA from 1 species